UACGUAGGGUGCGAGCGUUAAUCGGAAUUACUGGGCGUAAAGCGUGCGCAGGCGGUGCUGUAAGACAGGCGUGAAAUCCCCGGGCUUAACCUGGGAAUGGCGCUUGUGACUGCAGUGCUGGAGUGUGGCAGAGGGGGAUGGAAUUCCGCGUGUAGCAGUGAAAUGCGUAGAUAUGCGGAGGAACACCGAUGGCGAAGGCAAUCCCCUGGGCCUGCACUGACGCUCAUGCACGAAAGCGUGGGGAGCAAACAGGAUUAGAAACCCCCGUAGUCC
rnacentral:rRNA from 1 species